rnacentral:lncRNA from 1 species
GAGCUUAGAGUUUGAGCGGGAUUUAUUUUGAAUUUCAAAUUUGUCUUGGUUGGAGAAAAAUCACAUGAAGAUCUUGGACUCCGUAAAUCAAGUUGUUUUAACAGUGAACUUCUGCCCCAAAGAAUCAAAAAUCAAAAAGUUAUUUGGCUUCUUGUGUUGACUAAAUUGUUGAAUAUGAGUGAGAAGGAAAUUUUGAACGUUAGGAUAUGCUAGAACACAGUGAAUGGAUGAAAUUUGCUCAAAAAGGUUGGACAAAGACUAUCCACAGUUAUGGUGCUACC